UUUAACCUCGUCACCUGCAACUCAAAGGUUGUUGACAAAUAUAUUUUCUUUUCCUCAAGCUUCAAUUUUUUUUAAUUCUUUGGAACAGUUUCUCCUUAGAUUUGCAAAUCUGGUGAAAGAGAAGGUGGGGGAGGAAGAAUGGUGAACACCCAUGAAAGCUUCAACCAAGAACACAAAUGAAAAAUUGCAAAUUUUGACAACCUAAAAAUUGAAUUAAAGGGGAGAAAAAUUGAUGUCAUCCAUGGAAUUAAGCAUCUUCUGAGAC
rnacentral:lncRNA from 1 species